GCGUGGAUGACGGUACCGUAAGAAGAAGCACCGGCUAACUACGUGCCAGCAGCCGCGGUAAUACGUAGGGUGCGAGCGUUAAUCGGAAUUACUGGGCGUAAAGCGUGCGCAGGCGGUGAUGUAAGACAGAUGUGAAAUCCCCGGGCUCAACCUGGGAACUGCGUUUGUGACUGCAUCACUCGAGUACGGCAGAGGGAGGUGGAAUUCCACGUGUAGCAGUGAAAUGCGUAGAGAUGUGGAGGAACACCGAUGGCGAAGGCAGCCUCCUGGGCCAGUACUGACGCUCAUGCACGAAAGCGUGGGGAGCAAACAGGAUUAGAUACCCUGGUAGUCCACGCCCUAAACGAUGUCAACUAGUUGUUCGGUGAGGAGACUCAUUGAGUACCGCAGCUAACGCGUGAAGUUGACCGCCUGGGGAGUACGGCCGCAAGGUUAA
rnacentral:rRNA from 1 species